GAUGAAGAACGUAGCGAAAUGCGAUAAGUAAUGUGAAUUGCAGAAUUCAGUGAAUCAUCGAAUCUUUGAACGCACAUUGCGCCCCCUGGUAUUCCGGGGGGCAUGCCUGUUCGAGCGUCAUUUCACCACUCAAGCCUCGCUUGGUAUUGGGCAACGCGGUCCGCCGCGUGCCUCAAAUCGAACGGCUGGGUCUUCUGUCCCCUAAGCGUUGUGGAAACUAUUCGCUAAAGGGUGUUCGGGAGGCUACGCCGUAAAACAACCCCAUUUCUAAGGUUGACCUCGGAUCAGGUAGGGAUACCCGCUGAACUUAAGCAUAUCAAUAAGCGGAGGA
rnacentral:misc_RNA from 1 species